rnacentral:rRNA from 1 species
CGUGUAGGCGGUCCGUCAAGUCUGAUGUGAAAGCCCGGGGCUCACCCCCGGAAGGGCAUUGGAAACUGACGGACUCGAGUCCCGGAGAGGAAGGUGGAAUUCCUGGUGUAGCGGUGAAAUGCGUAGAUAUCAGGAGGAACAUCGGAGGCGAAGGCGGCCUUCUGGACGGUGACUGACGCUGAGACGCGAAAGCGUGGGGAGAAC